UAUUCUUUAGUAUAAUGGAUUAUACAACUACCUACAAGGUAGUAAAUAUCAGUUCGAUUCUGAUAGGAAUAA
rnacentral:tRNA from 1 species